GACGAACGCUGGCGGCGUGCCUAAUACAUGCAAGUUGAGCGCUGAAGGUUGGUACUUGUACCAACUGGAUGAGCAGCGAACGGGUGAGUAACGCGUGGGGAAUCUGCCUUUGAGCGGGGGACAACAUUUGGAAACGAAUGCUAAUACCGCAUAAAAACUUUAAACACAAGUUUUAAGUUUGAAAGAUGCAAUUGCAUCACUCAAAGAUGAUCCCGCGUUGUAUUAGCUAGUUGGUGAGGUAAAGGCUCACCCAGGCGAUGAUACAUAGCCGACCUGAGAGGGUGAUCGGCCACAUUGGGACUGAGACACGGCCCAAACUCCUACGGGAGGCAGCAGUAGGGAAUCUUCGGCAAUGGACGAAAGUCUGACCGAGCAACGCCGCGUGAGUGAAGAAGGUUUUCGGAUCGUAAAACUCUGUUGGUAGAGAAGAACGUUGGUGAGAGUGGAAAGCUCAUCAAGUGACGGUAACUACCCAGAAAGGGACGGCUAACUACGUG
rnacentral:rRNA from 1 species